rnacentral:tRNA from 2 species
GGAGGGAUGGCAGAGCGGUUGAAUGCACCGGUCUUGAAAACCGGCGAAGGCGCGAGUCUUCCCAGGGUUCGAAUCCCUGUCCCUCCG